CUCGUCUGGCCACAGCUUUAUAACCAGAGACUCUUCUGUGCUCUCUCCAAUAACUGACAAACAGAUCAGAUAGAGUUACAGAAGGAUGGGAGGGUUGUCUUGUGAGUCAGAUUCAUGGGUUUGCUCUUCCGAAACUCAAACCUCGGAGUACUCCAAUGAAUUUCAUGAAGAAAUUGAGCAAGAAUGGGAAAGAAUUAACAAUGGCGAGAAGCUGUUGAGUAAGAAAAAGAAGAAGAAGAAGAAGCAGGUUUUGUUAGAAGCGUAUGUGGAGAAUGUUGAUGAGGAUGAUUUGAAGAGGACGAAGAGCUUGACCGAUGAUGAUCUUGAUGAGCUGAAAGGAUGUUUGGAUCUAGGUUUUGGCUUCAGCUAUGACGAGAUACCUGAGCUCUGCAACACCUUGCCUGCGCUUGAGCUCUGUUACUCAAUGUCCCAGAAGUUCCUCGAUGAUCAUCAGAAGACCCCGGAAAAUUCUCCGCUCGCUGAUUCCGUCUCCAGUCCUAUUGCCAAUUGGAAGAUCUCUAGCCCUGGUGACCAUCCAGAAGAUGUUAAAGCAAGACUCAAAUUUUGGGCACAGGCUGUGGCAUGCACCGUGAAAUUAUGCAGCUAAAUCAUAGUUUGAUUAAAUUAACUCACCCACAAAGAAAAUGAUUGGGCAUUUUUAAUCAUCUCAAAUCAAUGGCCUUGACCUUCAUUAAGAGCCUGAACUCUGCAAUCCGUUAGUGAGGACAUCCUCUUGCUGGAGUGAUAUUCUUGCUGUUAUCUAGCAGCAUAUGGACCUGCUGAAGCCUGUCCAUGGCAGGUUGAUUUUAAAGGUGUAGAAGAAGAAGAGAAAGGAGGAGAAGGAUGUUUCAGUGGUGAGAGCCUUCAUUAGAGCUUCACCAACUAGUUCCAGACCUCUGCAUUUGCUGAGACUCCAUUCAAUAGACAAGUGUCUCACUUUGCUGCUAUGGAGACGGGAAAGGAAGAAGUGUCCAGAUGCAUGUCUCGUUUGCUAAACCUACUCGGAAAUUUGUUUUCUCUAACUUUUAUGCGUUGCUAGUGAAAGCACGGCUGGCUGAUCUUGUGUGAAGAGAAAUUAUUUUGUACGACGGGUAUACUUAGAUGUAGUAUUUUCAAUGUUUAGUAUAAUAUUUUGCAUUAUCAUAAAACAAAGAAUGAAAGAAAGGACUGGUUGUUUGAUAAUGUGGGAACUCAGAUUUUGAGAACUCCUUGUAGCUAGGGAAAUCCAUAUUCAGAAUCCGGGUCAAAGAAUAUAUAAGACCAAGUAUGUGAGUCAUUUGGAAUGUUCAAAACUUUUGGGACAAGGAAACCUCGAGUGAUUAUCAAUAUUUAGCUAGGCUGCCAAA